AUAAAGCUUAUGACAUGUUUUGAUUUGGUAGCUUCAUGUGGAAGAGGUUGAGUAUCCCUUUCUGAAAUGCUUGGGGCCAGGUGUGGUGGCUGGCGCCUGUAAUCCCAGUACUUUCUGAGGCUGAGGCGAGAGGAUUGCUUCAGCCCUGGAGUUCAAGAACAGCUGGGCAACACAGUGAUACCCUGUCUCUACAAAACACUAAAAAAUUACCUGUGUAUAGUGGUACAUACCCGUAGUCCCAGCUACUCAGAGGCCAAGACCUCUGUGAGUGAAAGCCUUCAGAGGGAAGCUGCUAAGAAGCAGGCCAUGAAACAGACCAAACUGGAAAUCCAGAAGGCCCUUGCAGAAGAUGCUACUGUGUAUGAAUAUGACAGUAUUUAUGAUGAAAUGCAGAAAAAAAAGGAGGAAAAUAAUCCCAAAUUGCUUUUGGGGAAAGACAGAAAGCCCAAGUAUAUUCACAACUUGCUAAAAGCAGUUGAGAUCAGAAAAAAGGAACAGGAAAAAAGAAUGGAAAAGAAAAUACAGAGAGAACGAGAAAUGGAAAAGG
rnacentral:sRNA from 1 species